rnacentral:lncRNA from 1 species
UUUCAAUCAGAUUCAUUAACCAUAUAGAAAGUAUAUAUAAUUUGCUCUGGGCAAUAGCGCUUGCAACAUUUAGACAUCCAAAUACAUCACACCAUUUUCGGUGUUUGAGGCCCAAAAACUGUUUUUGUGAGUUAUAUAAACUUCAUUUCAAAUAAGUUUCUUUGACGAAUAAGAUUUUUAGGUGCAAUUGAACUUCUAAACGAAUUCUUUUGUAUAAUUAUAUAUUAUAACAAUUAACACUAAAUUAAGAACUCAAUAAAAUUACCAGAAUAUAGAGUGUCCAUGGUGAUCUAGACUGAAGAGACAGAUAUAAG